rnacentral:rRNA from 1 species
GUGACAGCCCCGUACACAAAAAUGCACAUGCUGUGAGCUCGAUGAGUAGGGCGGGACACGUGGUAUCCUGUCUGAAUAUGGGGGGACCAUCCUCCAAGGCUAAAUACUCCUGACUGACCGAUAGUGAACCAGUACCGUGAGGGAAAGGCGAAAAGAACCCCGGCGAGGGGAGUGAAAAAGAACCUGAAACCGUGUACGUACAAGCAGUGGGAGCACAGAGCAAUCUGUGUGACUGCGUACCUUUUGUAUAAUGGGUCAGCGACUUAUAUUCUGUAGCAAGGUUAACCGAAUAGGGGAGCCGAAGGGAAACCGAGUCUUAACUGGGCGUUAAGUUGCAGGGUAUAGACCCGAAACCCGGUGAUCUAGCCAUGGGCAGGUUGAAGGUUGGGUAACACUAACUGGAGGACCGAACCGACUAAUGUUGAAAAAUUAGCGGAUGACUUGUGGCUGGGGGUGAAAGGCCAAUCAAACCGGGAGAUAGCUGGUUCUCCCCGAAAGCUAUUUAGGUAGCGCCUCGUGAAUUCAUCUCCGGGGGUAGAGCACUGUUUCGGCAAGGGGGUCAUCCCGACUUACCAACCCGAUGCAAACUGCGAAUACCGGAGAAUGUUAUCACGGGAGACACACGGCGGGUGCUAACGUCCGUCGUGAAGAGGGAAACAACCCAGACCGCCAGCUAAGGUCCCAAAGUCAUGGUUAAGUGGGAAACGAUGUGGGAAGGCCCAGACAGCCAGGAUGUUGGCUUAGAAGCAGCCAUCAUUUAAAGAAAGCGUAAUAGCUCACUGGUCGAGUCGGCCUGCGCGGAAGAUGUAACGGGGCUAAACCAUGCACCGAAGCUGCGGCAGCGACGCUUAUGCGUUGUUGGGUAGGGGAGCGUUCUGUAAGCCUGUGAAGGUGUGCUGUGAGGCAUGCUGGAGGUAUCAGAAGUGCGAAUGCUGACAUAAGUAACGAUAAAGCGGGUGAAAAGCCCGCUCGCCGGAAGACCAAGGGUUCCUGUCCAACGUUAAUCGGGGCAGGGUGAGUCGACCCCUAAGGCGAGGCCGAAAGGCGUAGUCGAUGGGAAACAGGUUAAUAUUCCUGUACUUGGUGUUACUGCGAAGGGGGGACGGAGAAGGCUAUGUUGGCCGGGCGACGGUUGUCCCGGUUUAAGCGUGUAGGCUGGUUUUCCAGGCAAAUCCGGAAAAUCAAGGCUGAGGCGUGAUGACGAGGCACUACGGUGCUGAAGCAACAAAUGCCCUGCUUCCAGGAAAAGCCUCUAAGCAUCAGGUAACAUCAAAUCGUACCCCAAACCGACACAGGUGGUCAGGUAGAGAAUACCAAGGCGCUUGAGAGAACUCGGGUGAAGGAACUAGGCAAAAUGGUGCCGUAACUUCGGGAGAAGGCACGCUGAUAUGUAGGUGAAGCGACUUGCUCGUGGAGCUGAAAUCAGUCGAAGAUACCAGCUGGCUGCAACUGUUUAUUAAAAACACAGCACUGUGCAAACACGAAAGUGGACGUAUACGGUGUGACGCCUGCCCGGUGCCGGAAGGUUAAUUGAUGGGG